AUUGGAAUCCGGUUAGGAUUGU
rnacentral:snRNA from 1 species